UACGGAGGGAGCUAGCGUUGUUCGGAAUUACUGGGCGUAAAGCGCACGUAGGCGGCUUUUUAAGUCAGGGGUGAAAUCCCAGAGCUCAACUCUGGAACUGCCUUUGAUACUGGGUAUCUUGAGUAUGGAAGAGGUGAGUGGAAUUCCGAGUGUAGAGGUGAAAUUCGUAGAUAUUCGGAGGAACACCAGUGGCGAAGGCGGCCCCCUGGCACAACACUGACGCUGAGGUGCGAAAGCGUGGGGAGCAAACAGG
rnacentral:rRNA from 1 species